AUUCAGCCCGUGGCAAUGGGAGCAGCCCCUGCUCCUGUCAGCCCAGGCCCGAACAUCCCUCACUACAUUGCAAAAUAGAGUUUUCCCACCGUCGCCAAGAGCGACACAACCUUUUGCUGCACUAAUUCAGGCCCUGGGUUUUGUGCUCCUCCUUCAGGAGAGUGCUGUAUUUCAAUUUUACUAAAAGAGGCCUUUUCCACUUGAAAAUUUGCUAAAGAGGGCAGGAUUUGAUUAUAAAGCAGCCCUGGCCAAAUGCAGCCCCUCCUCCUCCUCUCUCUCUGCUGACAACAUCCUCCCCUCCACAACAACAAUCAUCUGAGCACAAACAGACAACGGAGCUUUUCAGAAAGGAAUGAACUCUGGUCGGAGCCAAGGCAGGAAGGGUUUAAUGUUCAGCACAGAAAGCUUGGCGAGGCCAUCAAUUAUAUAGCCCUGCUGCUGAAGGAGCAAAAAGAAGAGAAUAUUUCAGACAGACCCAGCCAAAAAGAAAAGAUAGGGAAGGAAAUCACUGCGAGAGAGAUUUAAUUCCACGAGCGGAGAGAAGUGUUUGCAAAGGAGGAGGAGGAUCAAAGGCUGAAGCUCUCGGGCUGCCUGCGAGGAGGAGGGAUUACAAGGAGGGCAAACCACGGAGAAGACAUCUCUGUCUGUGCCUUGUCUCAAGGCUGGUCCAGGCAAGGAGAGCCCCAGGCACAAAUUGGGGAGCCUGUGGGCUGUGGGGGCUCGGAUUGCAAGCCAGGAUCCCCAUGGAUGCCACCUUCAUGGCAAAGGCUACAUCAAACAGACAAAAAUCCCUUGGGAAGAGCCCUUUGCUUCUGUCCUUUGGCUCCUCAAGCCUCUGCAACAGGUUUUUGCUUCUGGACUCGCCUCCGGAGAGACCGGCCGGAAAAAUCAGUUCUAAAGGCCAAAAAGAAGAGCCAGAUUAAAGUAUCAACUCUGAAUUUAUGCUCGGGACUUAAGGUUUAAUAAUGCAACAGAAAAUCAAUAUUUAAUAAAGCAAAUGAUGGAGAAAAACA